rnacentral:rRNA from 1 species
GACGAACGCUGGCGGCGUGCUUAACACAUGCAAGUCGAGCGGUAAGGCCCUUUCGGGGGUACACGAGCGGCGAACGGGUGAGUAACACGUGGGUGACCUGCCCUCAGCUCUGGGAUAAGCCUGGGAAACGUGGGUCUAAUACCGGAUAUGACUCCAUGACGCAUGUUGGUGGGGUGGAAAGCCUUGUGCGGCUGAGGAGUCGGGCCCGCGG